UACGGGGGGGGCAAGCGUUGUUCGGAAUUACUGGGCGUAAAGGGCUCGUAGGUGGCGCUGUAAGUCAGGUGUGAAAUUUCGGAGCUUAACUCCGAAACUGCAUUUGAUACUGCGGUGCUUGAGGACUGGAGAGGAGACUGGAAUUUACGGUGUAGCAGUGAAAUGCGUAGAGAUCGUAAGGAAGACCAGUGGCGAAGGCGGGUCUCUGGACAGUUCCUGACACUGAGGCACGAAGGCCAGGGGAGCAAACGGG
rnacentral:rRNA from 1 species